rnacentral:lncRNA from 1 species
CCUAUUUCCUCAACAGCCAUGGAUGUAUUAAGAUUAUCAGAGAAUCAACAUUCAACUAAUGGCCAGUAUAAUACAAUGUAGGCUGAAUUACUAAUGAUCAGUAUAAUACAAUGUAGGAAACAUGGAAUCCUAGCAAUAGCUUGAUCAGAGCAGUAAACAACAGAGAUUGGCCCCAAUAGCAGUGUUAACAUGAAAAUAGGAAAAUUCGAGAGAGCAAAAGCUGGGUGGUAGGACCAUCAGGAGUGGCUGCAAGUCACCGUGACACCAGUCUCUAGUCUUCCGUCACAAGCAUACAACUCCAGCCAGAGCAGUUUUCAACCACGCUUCCUAUCAUUAGCAGAAUAUCUGUAAAAGAAAACUUUCUUAAUAACUGUACAUCAAUACCAGAAAUACACAUUGACUGUGACCGAUUAGAAAACGUAGAGCAGACUCCCUUCGCCAAUUCAUCUUGAAAUUAAGAUAUUAAUACACAAAGAUUGUCAAUUUUGUAGUACCAAUCACAUGAUACAAUCGUACAAUUACGGGUCCUUGUAAGUUAUAGAAAUAGAUGAUAAUGCGGCAAGAUCGGCUAGCUCUCAGCAUCAUUAAUCAAUGCUAUUUUGUCCAUACACUAUAGCUAAGAUGAUUUGCCCGUUCCUAUCUCUAUGUCACUACAGUUUAACUGUUGUCUGUUAUGACAUCCACCAUGUUACCUGGUGUUAUCGAGUCGAAACAAAAUGUUAUUUGGCAUGGAAAUAAGAAUUUUCCGAGCAUCAUUCUCGUAACAGAUAUACCAUGACGCAAAAGAGACUCUAGAAAGGAGAACUAAACAAUAUCAUUUAUGUACUAUAAGAAUUCAAUUAUUCGUGUUUGAAGGAUGACAUCCAGGUGGAUGACUAUCCAUAAAAAUGUAUUGUUAUCAGCAACCAUCAUUCCUAACCCUAUUAUUGCUUAAUAGAUCUCACCUAUUUCCAUCCAAAAAAGCAAAGAUCGUUCCGAUGCUAUUUACUUCUUAUAAUUUCUUGUACUACAGGUAUGUCACCCUUUACAGAUUUAUACAACUCUUCGUGUAUACUAUAUUUUUUUGCACAGCAAGAAAUCAUGAGUAUCACUCUCACACGUCCUAAGGCAUCUCAUAUGUCAACCAAUUAUACAAAUAAAAAAAGUGAGACUUGAUUGAUACCUCAAGUUUGCUCCAUGAAACGUUAUUUUCAAUCUUCAAAAACGAAUGUGCAUCCUUUCAUGUUCGACCUACAAUUUUUCACCUGAUUGAACUCACCACCCGUUGAAUUUUCUAAAUUUGGUCCUCAGUACUAUUAAAAAGGUGAAAAGUUGCAAAUUGUCAUUUAAAUCCAAAAUAACCUUCUGAAGCUUAAGAAAAAGGUAAUCAGAACAUAGUCUAGUGAAAUGCCUUUGUAAAAAUAGCUUGGAAGUACUAUGAAUCGUAAUAUUUAGUGUGCUUAUUCGCAUUGGCAUACAGUGUAUGUUCAUUCAGCUAGCUGAUGAAUGAUUUUUCCAUAGUAGAAUUAAUUGUAAAAAGCUUCACACAUGUAAAAUUAAUGCUUCAUGCAGUUUUAUAUUCUGUGAAUCCUGUGCAGUCCAUGACCAUAACUGAAACUGAAAGCCCAAAAACUUUCUAGGUAGCUCAUAAUAAUACUAAUGUAUACUGGCUAGAAACUGAAUCAUGUUGAAUGCUAAGUCAUCAAUACGGAAUUAUGUGUAGGUAAGAACAGAAUAUCUUGGAUUGUUUUCUCUACCAGAUCAGACGUCACAAAUUUGUUGAGUAUGUAAAAAAUAGUAGAAUGGAUACCCUGACGGAAUUAUGUGUAGGUAAGAACAGAAUAUCUCGGACUGUUUUCUCUACCAGAUCAGACGUCACAAAUUUGUUGAGUAUGUAAAAAAAUAGUAGAAUGG